rnacentral:rRNA from 1 species
UAGGGAAUCUUCGGCAAUGGACGAAAGUCUGACCGAGCAACGCCGCGUGAGUGAAGAAGGUUUUCGGAUCGUAAAACUCUGUUGUUAGAGAAGAACAAGGACGUUAGUAACUGAACGUCCCCUGACGGUAUCUAACCAGAAAGCCACGGCUAACUACGUGCCAGCAGCCGCGGUAAUACGUAGGUGGCAAGCGUUGUCCGGAUUUAUUGGGCGUAAAGCGAGCGCAGGCGGUUUCUUAAGUCUGAUGUGAAAGCCCCCGGCUCAACCGGGGAGGGUCAGUGGAAACUGGGAGACUUGAGUGCAGAAGAGGAGAGUGGAAUUCCAUGUGUAGCGAUGAAAUGCGUAGAUAUAUGGAGGAACACCAGUGGCGAAGGCGGCUCUCUGGUCUGUAACUGACGCUGAGGCUCGAAAGCGUGGGGAGCAAACAGG